GAGAGGAGGUGCAUGGCCGUCGUCAGUUCGUACUGUGAAGCAUCCUGUUAAGUCAGGCAACGAGCGAGACCACGCCAACAGUUGCCAGCAUGAUCUCCGGAUUGAUGGGGACACUGUUGGGACCGCCUCUGCUAAAGGGGAGGAAGGAAUGGGCAACGGUAGGUCAGCAUGCCCCGAAUUAUCCGGGCUACACGCGGGCUACAAUGGAUGGGACAAUGGGUUUCGACACCGAAAGGUGAAGGUAAUCUCCUAACCCCACCCGUAGUUCGGAUUGCGGGCUGCAACUCGCCCGCAUGAAGCUGGAAUCCGUAGUAAUCGCGUCUCACGAUGGCGCGGUGAAUAUGUCCCUGCUCCUU
rnacentral:rRNA from 1 species